rnacentral:rRNA from 1 species
UCCGCCCUACGGGGCGCAACAGUGAGGGAUAUUGGUCAAUGGGAAACCCUGAACCAGCAACGCCGCGUGAGGGAAGACGGUUUUCGGAUUGUAAACCUCUGUCCUCUGUGAAGAUAAUGACGGUAGCAGAGGAGGAAGCUCGGCUAACUACGUGCCAGCAGCCGCGGUAAUACGUAGGGAGCGAGCGUUGUCCGGAUUUACUGGGUGUAAAGGGUGCGUAGGCGGCCCUGCAAGUCAGAAGUGAAAUCCAUGGGCUUAACCCGUGAACUGCUUUUGAAACUGCAGGAGUUGAGUGGAGUGGAGGG